AGCAGCCGCGGUAAUUCCAGCUCCAAUAGCGUAUAUUAAAGUUGUUGCAGUUAAAAGCUCGUAGUUGAAUUUCGGGAUCAAUUAGUCGGUCGUGCCUCUGGUACGUACUGGUUUUAUUGGUUCCUCCCUUCUGACGAAACAUGAUGUCAUUAAUUUGGUGUCGUGGAGAAUCAGGACUGUUACCUUGAAAAAUUGAGUGUUUAUAGCAGGCUAACGCUUGAAUACAUUAGCAUGGAAUAAUGAAAUAGGACGUUCGACCCUAUUUUGUUGGUUUCUAGGAUCGACGUAAUGAUUAAUAGGGAUAGUUGGGGGCAUUAGUAUUCAAUUGUCAGAGGUGAAAUUCUUGGAUUUAUUGAAGACUAACUACUGCGAAAGCAUUUGCCAAGGAUGUCUUCAUUAAUCAAGAACGAAAGUUAGGGAUCGAAGACGAUCAGAUACCGUCGUAGUCUU
rnacentral:rRNA from 1 species